CGAGCGCGCUACCAGCAAGUCGAGGGGUACAGAGGAGCUUGCUCUUGCUGACGACCGGCGCACGGGUGCGUAACGCGUAUACAAUCUGCCUUGCACUAAGGGAUAGCCCAGAGAAAUUUGGAUUAAUAUCUUAUAGUUUAUAAUUAUGGCAUCAUAUUUAUAAUAAAGGUUACGGUGUAAGAUGAGUAUGCGUCCCAUUAGUUUGUUGGUAAGGUAACGGCUUACCAAGACUACGAUGGGUAGGGGCCCUGAGAGGGGGAUCCCCCACACUGGUACUGAGACACGGACCAGACUCCUACGGGAGGCAGCAGUGAGGAAUAUUGGACAAUGGAGGAGACUCUGAUCCAGCCAUGCCGCGUGCAGGAAGACGGUCCUAUGGAUUGUAAACUGCUUUUAUACAGGAAGAAUAAGGACUACGUGUAGUCUGGUGACGGUACUGUAAGAAUAAGGACCGGCUAACUCCGUGCCAGCAGCCGCGGUAAUACGGAGGGUCCGAGCGUUAUCCGGAAUUAUUGGGUUUAAAGGGUCCGUAGGCGGGCUGUUAAGUCAGGGGUGAAAGUUUGCAGCUCAACUGUAGAAUUGCCUUUGAUACUGACGGUCUUGAAUUAUUGUGAAGUGGUUAGAAUAUGUAGUGUAGCGGUGAAAUGCAUAGAUAUUACAUAGAAUACCGAUUGCGAAGGCAGAUCACUAACAAUUGAUUGACGCUGAUGGACGAAAGCGUGGGUAGCGAACAGGAUUAGAUACCCUGGUAGUCCACGCCGUAAACGAUGGAUACUAGCUGUUUGGAUUUCGAUCUGAGCGGCCAAGCGAAAGUGAUAAGUAUCCCACCUGGGGAGUACGUUCGCAAGAAUGAAACUCAAAGGAAUUGACGGGG
rnacentral:rRNA from 1 species